UACGUAGGGUGCAAGCGUUGUCCGGAAUUAUUGGGCGUAAAGAGCUCGUAGGCGGUCUGUUGCGUCGGCUGUGAAAACCCGGGGCUCAACCCCGGGCCUGCAGCCGAUACGGGCAGACUAGAGUUCGGCAGGGGAGACUGGAAUUCCUGGUGUAGCGGUGAAAUGCGCAGAUAUCAGGAGGAACACCAAUGGCGAAGGCAGCUCGCUGGGACGGUACUGACGCUGAGACGCGAAAGCGUGGGGAGCAAACAGG
rnacentral:rRNA from 1 species